GAGCACAUAGGAGUCUCAGCCCCCCGCCCCAAAGCAAGGGGAAGUCACGCGCCUGUAGCGCCAGCGUGUUGUGAAAUGGGGGCUUGGGGGGGUUGGGGCCCUGGGGCUGAUUCUGGAAAUGCAGGGGUUCGUGGGCGGGAGGGUGGGGGCUGGGGUCCCUCUGGGAGGCUAGAGUUUUAUGGGAGCACUAACAGCCCUGUGAACUGAUGACCCUGGGGUCCUGGGGUGCCUCGGGAAAGUAAGAUUCUGGGGUUUCCGAGGGCAUGGAUUUUUCUGGAACCUUGAGUGGGGGGAGGGGCACCUCAAAGGUGCAGGGAGGACCUGUAGUUGCCUGAGGUUUGCGCUGCGAGAUAAGGAGUCUCCGGAUCCUUGGGAAGCUUGGAAGGCUGUGAGGUGUUAUUUCUGGACCCCUGGAGAUCUCUGGAAGAUGGAGUGUUGCGGGGACUGGAGUCCUGGGAUUUACAGGGGUGGGGGUUCACGAUGCAAACUCUCUAUAUUUUGGAGCCCUCCCCGGGGAAAUCUUUAGGUUCUUGAGGUGCUCUGCAAGUUGGAAAGGGCAGUUAUUCUGGAGCCGUGGGUUUCACCCAGUGCGGGAAGCCCAGGAGGAGCAUUGUAUGAGGUAGGGUGACUUCUGGAACCCUGGACAGCCCUCUGGAACCCUCCAAAGAUGGGCUGGGACUUUGGGGAUACCUUGGAGCUCUUUCAGGGGCCCAGGCUUUUUCUGGGAGUGGAAAUGGGGAGGAAUGAAAAGUCUGUUUUGAGCUUUGCGGUGUCUCUGGGAUUGCAUUUCCUGGAGGCUGUUUUGGAGACAACUCACAGACUUCGAGAAUUCUCCGUGGCCCUGAACAGUGUCUCUGAAGUUGCCCUCGUGUCUUGCCUGACGUGUGCUCCUUCAGGCCCACAAAGAGAAGCCCUGCGUUGUGGACAAACAGUCUGGGGACCUAUGGACGAGACGUCUGUCUUCGACUAAUGCAUAUUUUUUAAGUGGGCCUGGUCCACGUUGAUUUCUGGGAGACGGAGUCGGCGCAAACCUUGACUCUACUUAAGUGCCCUGAUGGAGGCAGCCCGUGCGCUGGGCAGGGAGCUGAAGCCACUGGGGUGUGGGGUGAGGUCAGGCCCUGCCCUACAGAGGAGCUGCUCCGAACAGCCCAGGCGGGGCAGCCCCUGACCGAGGGGAUCUGCAGAUGCCCCGCCAGGCCGGUAUCUGGGGUCCUUGUUGCAGG
rnacentral:lncRNA from 1 species